AAUGGGUCAGCGACUUAUAUUCUGUAGCAAGGUUAACCGAAUAGGGGAGCCGAAGGGAAACCGAGUCUUAACUGGGCGUUAAGUUGCAGGGUAUAGACCCGAAACCCGGUGAUCUAGCCAUGGGCAGGUUGAAGGUUGGGUAACACUAACUGGAGGACCGAACCGACUAAUGUUGAAAAAUUAGCGGAUGACUUGUGGCUGGGGGUGAAAGGCCAAUCAAACCGGGAGAUAGCUGGUUCUCCCCGAAAGCUAUUUAGGUAGCGCCUCGUGAAUUCAUCUCCGGGGGUAGAGCACUGUUUCGGCAAGGGGGUCAUCCCGACUUACCAACCCGAUGCAAACUGCGAAUACCGGAGAAUGUUAUCACGGGAGACACACGGCGGGUGCUAACGUCCGUCGUGAAGAGGGAAACAACCCAGACCGCCAGCUAAGGUCCCAAAGUCAUGGUUAAGUGGGAAACGAUGUGGGAAGGCCCAGACAGCCAGGAUGUUGGCUUAGAAGCAGCCAUCAUUUAAAGAAAGCGUAAUAGCUCACUGGUCGAGUCGGCCUGCGCGGAAGAUGUAACGGGGCUAAACCAUGCACCGAAGCUGCGGCAGCGACGCUUAUGCGUUGUUGGGUAGGGGAGCGUUCUGUAAGCCUGCGAAGGUGUGCUGUGAGGCAUGCUGGAGGUAUCAGAAGUGCGAAUGCUGACAUAAGUAACGAUAAAGCGGGUGAAAAGCCCGCUCGCCGGAAGACCAAGGGUUCCUGUCCAACGUUAAUCGGGGCAGGGUGAGUCGACCCCUAAGGCGAGGCCGAAAGGCGUAGUCGAUGGGAAACAGGUUAAUAUUCCUGUACUUGGUGUUACUGCGAAGGGGGGACGGAGAAGGCUAUGUUGGCCGGGCGACGGUUGUCCCGGUUUAAGCGUGUAGGCUGGUUUUCCAGGCAAAUCCGGAAAAUCAAGGCUGAGGCGUGAUGACGAGGCACUACGGUGCUGAAGCAACAAAUGCCCUGCUUCCAGGAAAAGCCUCUAAGCAUCAGGUAACAUCAAAUCGUACCCCAAACCGACACAGG
rnacentral:rRNA from 1 species